rnacentral:rRNA from 1 species
GUGGGGAAUUUUGGACAAUGGGGGCAACCCUGAUCCAGCAAUGCCGCGUGUGUGAAGAAGGCCUUCGGGUUGUAAAGCACUUUUGUCAGGAACGAAACGGCCAAGGCUAAUACCCUGGGCUAAUGACGGUACCUGAAGAAUAAGCACCGGCUAACUACGUGCCAGCAGCCGCGGUAAUACGUAGGGUGCAAGCGUUAAUCGGAAUUACUGGGCGUAAAGCGUGCGCAGGCGGUUAUACAAGACAGAUGUGAAAUCCCCGGGCUCAACCUGGGAAUUGCAUUUGUGACUGUAUGGCUAGAGUGUGUCAGAGGGGGGUAGAAUUCCACGUGUAGCAGUGAAAUGCGUAGAGAUGUGGAGGAAUACCGAUGGCGAAGGCAGCCCCCUGGGAUAACACUGACGCUCAUGCACGAAAGCGUGGGGAGCAA